GACGAACGCUGGCGGCGUGCUUAACACAUGCAAGUCGAACGGAAAGGCCCUGCUUGCAGGGUACUCGAGUGGCGAACGGGUGAGUAACACGUGGGUGAUCUGCCCUGCACUUCGGGAUAAGCCUGGGAAACUGGGUCUAAUACCGGAUAGGAGCCAUUUUUAGUGUGAUGGUUGGAAAGUUUUUUCGGUGUAGGAUGAGCUCGCGGCCUAUCAGCUUGUUGGUGGGGUAAUGGCCUACCAAGGCGGCGACGGGUAGCCGGCCUGAGGGGGUGGACGGCCACAUUGGGACUGAGAGACGGCCCAGACUCCUACGGGAGGCAGAAGUGGGGAAUAUUGCACAAUGGGCGCAAGCCUGAUGCAGCGACGCCGCGUGGGGGAUGACGGCCUUCGGGUUGUAAACUCCUUUCGCUAGGGACGAAGCUUUUUGUGACGGUACCUAGAUAAGAAGCACCGGCUAACUACGUG
rnacentral:rRNA from 1 species